UGGGGAUAGCUCAGUCGGGAGAGCACGGGACUUUUAAUCUCAGGGCUGUGGGUUCAAGCCCUGUGCUGGGCAAAA